AUUGCGCAUGCGGGAAACCCACGCUGAGGGAAGAAUCAUGGGAAAGAGUAGAGACGGGGUUCCACCGUGUUAGCCAGGAUGGUCUCGAUUUCCUGACCUCGUCAUCCUCCCGCCUUGGCCUCCCAAAGUGCUGGGAUUACAGGCUUGAGCCACCGCGCCCCGCUCUUUCGUGUUCCAAAGGCUUUUUAAAUAAACUUCCACUCCUGUCCUGGAUUCUGCUUUAUGGCCCUCAGUCGAAUUCUUUCUUCUGAGGAGGCAAGGACUGAAGUUGCUUCUGACCAGUACAGGAGAAAACGAAUACAGCAGGGAUGACUUCCACCAGCUCCACUUUGCAGCUCUGAGGUGUAUUAAAAAUGACCUGGAAGAAGUCAUGCCACGGGCCAGACCUUAACAUUCCUUUCGGCUUACCCCAGGAUUUCAGACAAAGCUUCACUUUCCUAACCAGUCACAAAUCAGAGAAUUUUUGAUUCCACCUAUGACCUGUGAGCUCCUGCUUCAAGAUAUUCCACCUUUUUUAGGCCAAACCAAUGUAUAACCUCCAAGUGUCGAUUUACACUUUCGACUGUAACUUCUGCUUUCCUGAGAUUUACCCCUGCCUUUAAAAACCCUUGCUUGUAAUCCCUCAGGGAGGCCGUGUAUUUAUUAAUCAUGAGCUGCCCAAUUCUCCUUGCUUGGUGCCCUGCAAAUAAACACCCUCUUUUCUCCCACUGC
rnacentral:lncRNA from 1 species